rnacentral:lncRNA from 1 species
AUGUAUUUGCAGAGUGUAAGAAAAGAGGCUAACUCAUUUUUUAACUUUAUUGUUACAGGUUCAGGCCAAACAAUAAGCCACCUGCAAGCACAGAGAGAGAAGCUCAAAGCCACUGAACAGCUGUUUUACUCUGAGUCCAGAGAUUGCCAAAUACUGUCAGAAAACAAACUAAUAAGCAAAAAUGCAGCAAACCCACAAUACUCACCAUCAAGAAGAAAGAAGAUAACUAUCUCCAAAGAAGUUGGACUUCUUUGGAGAUUUCCAGAAAGUUAAUAAAUGUAAAAAUCUAGAAUUGUGUUGCCUAAGUCAAUCAGCAUUGCUGUACCAACUUGUAAAACUUCAAAUAACUAAUGUGCUCACAGACCAUUAUAAUUUAUAAAGCUCUUUCACAUAUAUUAAUGCACUUGAACUUUACAAUACAGUAUGACAUAGAUGCUAUUAUUAGACCCAUUUUAUGGAGGAGAAAACUGAGGCACACAGCAGUUAGGUGACUAGCCCAUGAUUACUCAACAAUUUAAUUACUUCAAUUAAAAAGAAGUGAAGUCAGGUUUUUCUGACCUGGGAGUCUGUGUUCUUUCCACUCUCCCACACAGUUGGCUGUUGAACUACAUUUUCAGAACAAUGCACCUGUAUUUCUUCUUUUUCCAAAUGACAAGAGGCACAACUCAGAAAGAGCUACAAGCCUCAUCUAAAGUUUUGCAGCUUGGACAUCCUCCUGCUGCCAAAUUUAGAAGUCUCUGACCUUCUUUCAAAACUUAAGUAGGUUUCAAAUCAGUGGAGAGAAUAUGGAUUAUUUAAUAAAAGAAUCUAGGACAACUAGGAAGCUACUUGGGGGAAAGAAACUUGGAUCCAAUACCCCACUCUGUACACAAAAAUAAACUCCAGGAAGAUUAAAGAUGUAACCAUGAAAAUAAAACCAUAAAAAAAAAACUAAAGGAUAACAUGGAUUUCAUUUUCACUUCAGAGUCUAAGAGUGGGAAAGGGCUUUCCAAGUCUGACACAAGAUUUAGAAGUCAUAAAAGAGAAGAUCAAUAUAUUGGCUACACACAUACAAAAAAAUCUGUAUGUUUAAAAAAUACCACCAUUAACCAAAUCAAAAAUUGGAGGACAAAUAUAGGCAAGUAUGUGCAACCUAUAUGCAGGAAAAGGCUAAUUUUGAAAUAGGUGACCAAAUCCCACAAAUCAAUUAAAAAAAAAAAAACACCCUGCAGUGGAAAGUGGGCACAAGAUAUAAAUGGAUGGUUUGCAGAAAUAGAGCCCUGAAAGAGAUGGAAAAGGUACAUGAACUCACUCAUGUUAAGGGAAAUGCAAAUAAAAACUCCACUGAGAUGGCUGUUUUCACAUGACUGAUCAGCAAAGAUCUCAAAGUCUGAUUAUAUACUAGGUGUUAAGAGGAUGAGGAAAUGGGUCCAUUCCCACCUCUCUGUUGUAUAAUUUAAGUGUAAACUAGUACCUCUUCCAUGGAGAACAAUUUGCAGAUGGGCAAAAAUCUAUAAAAAUUUAAGAAAGCACCAGAGCUGGAGGAGGCCCGGCCAGAGCAGCCCCUGUCUAUGCGUUAAACAGACAUUCAUUUAGUACUGGUGAGUACAAGUAACACUUAACUUUCAGGUAAACUGGAAGAAAUUGUAUAAUAUGUAUGUUUUAUGUAUGAGGUGACUGUGGCUCAGAGAAGUUAAGUUUCUUGCCCAAGGCCACACAGCUGCUAAGUGGUGAAGCCAGGCUCAAAGCCAGAACCGGUCUCUUUUCCCUACAGAACUGCGGCCUCCAGAAGCUUCCUCUGGCCCUUUAUGCUGCCAUCCACAAUCCCAAAAGCUCUGUAAAAGGAGGGACCCAUGUACAUUGCUGAUCCUUACAAUUUGUUGAUCCAAUGAAUGAAUGGGGUAAUCCUAUGCUGGCCUUUGCCGAAGAAGAAGAUGCUGCCCUUUCUCUGCACAGAGGGAAAAAAAAUGACAAUGCAGGAAAUGAAGGAGUGAAUUUUAGGAAAAUACAAACAUUCAGUCCAUAACAAUGGGCAAAAACCAAAACACUAUUUGCUUGCUACAUACAUACAUUGCUACAUAGCUCUUUGGUCUCUACUGAGAACUUUGGUUCAUAUCCCUGGCUACACAGAACAGCUACCUGAAUUUUUAAAAUAUUAGGGACCAGGCUCCAUCCCAGGCAAAGGGAGGCUGAGUCUCAGAGGCUGGUGGUGGAGCUAAGCAUCCGGGUUUUCACCAAGCACUACAGUCACCUUCCUGUGCUGCUAAGGUUGUGAAACCAUGGGAAGAAUAUUAAACUUUUUUUUUUUUUUUUAAGUAAAGUAAUUUAUUCACAACCAAAUGCCCAAGACUUUCUUCAACAGGUAUUUCGCUUUGAACCUAGAGACCUUUUAAGAUAGAAAAUACUGACACCAAGUGGAGACAACUAGAACUUCCAUGAGUAGGGCAACAGCCCUGGAAAAUAGCUCUGCUGUGUCUGGACAGCUCAUUAUACAACUGUGGGAGCUCCCAGGUAAACUGGCUUGUUAACAGCACCACUGAUAGUUUUUUUCUAAAAUAAUAAAACACUAUUUUAUUGGGAAAAAAGUGGUACUUCACCUUAGGACCUGCAAACACUCAGCUGUGGCAGUUUUCUCACUACUUUUCAAUGUGAUUUUGAAUUGAGAAAAA